CUGGCCUCCAGGGCCUUGUACAUGGUAGGCUUUCAUUCAUUGUUUGCACAUUCGGUGAAGGUCUACUGUGUGCCAGGCCCUGUGCCAG
rfam:Rattus norvegicus chromosome 6, whole genome shotgun sequence.